rnacentral:rRNA from 1 species
AACGAACGCUGGCGGCAUGCCUAACACAUGCAAGUCGAACGAAGCCUUCGGGCUUAGUGGCGCACGGGUGCGUAACGCGUGGGAAUCUGCCCUUGGGUUCGGAAUAACAGUUAGAAAUGACUGCUAAUACCGGAUGAUGUCUUCGGACCAAAGAUUUAUCGCCCAAGGAUGAGCCCGCGUCGGAUUAGCUAGUUGGUGAGGUAAAGGCUCACCAAGGCGACGAUCCGUAGCUGGUCUGAGAGGAUGAUCAGCCACACUGGGACUGAGACACGGCCCAGACUCCUACGGGAAGCAGCAGUGGGGAAUAUUGGACAAUGGGCGAAAGCCUGAUCCAGCAAUGCCGCGUGAGUGAUGAAGGCCUUAGGGUUGUAAAGCUCUUUUACCCGGGAUGAUAAUGACAGUACCGGGAGAAUAAGCCCCGGCUAACUCCGUG